GACGAACGCUGGCGGCGUGCCUAAUACAUGCAAGUCGAGCGGACCUGAUGGAGUGCUUGCACUCCUGAAGGUUAGCGGCGGACGGGUGAGUAACACGUAGGCAACCUGCCCUCAAGACUGGGAUAACUACCGGAAACGGUAGCUAAUACCGGAUAAUUUAUUUUGCAGCAUUGUGAAAUAAUGAAAGGCGGAGCAAUCUGUCACUUGAGGAUGGGCCUGCGGCGCAUUAGCUAGUUGGUGGGGUAACGGCUCACCAAGGCGACGAUGCGUAGCCGACCUGAGAGGGUGAACGGCCACACUGGGACUGAGACACGGCCCAGACUCCUACGGGAGGCAGCAGUAGGGAAUCUUCCGCAAUGGGCGAAAGCCUGACGGAGCAACGCCGCGUGAGUGAUGAAGGUUUUCGGAUCGUAAAGCUCUGUUGCCAGGGAAGAACGUCUUCUAGAGUAACUGCUAGGAGAGUGACGGUACUUGAGAAGAAAGCCCCGGCUAACUACGUGCCAGCAGCCGCAGUAA
rnacentral:rRNA from 1 species